UGUGUAUAUAUAUAUAUAUAUAUAUACACACAGACACAUUCAAUUGCUUACCAAUUCCCAUUUCUUUUUUUUUUUGUAUUAAAAUAUUGACUGAAUAUAUUAUUCAGAAAAUCUGUGAUAGUGAAAACUAGAAAGAGCAAUCUUGUUUUGUUAUUAUUACAUGAGAAAGAACAUUGGAUCAAAUUGUUUCAGAUUUUUCCAGUGGGAGUUUGGUAUCAUUAUCUGUGAAGUGUGAAGUUGAAGAGAUGCUCUCUAAAAUCUCCUUCAGCUCUAAAAUCUUAUUAAUCUCAAACUCAGAACAUGCCUCAUAUUUACCAUUCUAUUAUUGCUUGUAUUCAUGUUAUCUACAAUCUGUUACUGACAGCACAAUUAUUGAUCUGAAAUGCCUUCCUUACUUCAAAUAGGAAAAAUUGCUAGACAUUGACACUGACAUUCAUACCAAAUAUAAAUGGAAAUAAAUGUCUGUUACUUCCACUGCAUAAUAUGUGCAAUUUAUUUCCUUCAAUAUCACAUGCUACGGAGUUCAAAUCACAAAGUGCUUAAGAUUUGGAAUAAACAUUACAUACAUGUAAUAACUGUCAAGCUUAGAAGAAUGCUAGUGAUUUGGAUAUAUUGAAGUAUUACAUUUUUCUUCUUUAAUUAACAGAUAUAUAUCAAGAUCUGGAAAGCCAAGAUUAGUACUCCUCCCCUGCAAAAAGUUGUAAAUAUUUUGCUUACAUAUUUAAAAUAAAGCUGUUGUAAAAAUAAGACCUAUAAUUCUAAUGAACACUAUUGUUUUAGGAUCACACAGAUACUUGGAAUAGUGGGCUCUGGAUUAGACCACCUGGGUUUAUACCUAAAUUAAAUGAAGUUAAAAUUUUGGAGUUACUUAACUUUUCUAAGCUAUGGUUUUCUCAUCUGUAAAAUGGGGAGUAAUACCAAUGUCUGCCCUAGAGGGUUGUUGUGAUAAGUGAGAUAACUGUAAACAUUUAAUGAACGUGCCCACAUAAUAAGUACUCAUUAAAUGUUUGUUUAUUGUAAUAACUUUGAAUGUAAUUACCUUUAUAAACAUGGUAAUGGAAAUCCAUAAAUAUAACUGCUAUUAUUAUUUUAUUAUUAUUUUUAAGUAAGCGCUUUUUGUGAUGUGAGGCUUGACUCAUGACCCUGAGAUUAAGAGUUGCAUGCUCUACUGACUGAGCCAUUCUGCUACCCCACUAAUACAUCAUUUAGAUAACUGAUCUAGUCAUGGUUUAUCUUCAUGCUGUUUUUCCACUAUUUCGUAUUAUCUUCUUUUAGGAGCAGCAUUAAAGAUUAUUAUUAUACUGGGGUUGUCUUGAUCUAAAUUCUUAUUUUCUAUCUUAAAUUUUGGGCUGUUAGGGUAAGAAGAUGGUAUUUGUAGUGUAAUAACUAAUGACAAUUUGAGAUUUUUGAUAUAUACAUUUAAAGUAAAGUAUAGAUGGGAAACUGUUUCUGAUAUUCUUUAAGUCUUAUUAAGGUCUGUGGAGAAAACUGCCUCUACCUAUGUGGGUAAUUUAAUGGAGUUCUAUUCUAUAGUAAAGAAAGUAGAAAAGUUUUAAAUAUUAUACAAAUGAUGCAGUUAUACAGGGUGGUAAAGCAAUAGUAAAAUAAAACUACAUAGAUGAUUGUUGAUUUGUAGAAGAGAGAUUUUUAAUUGGUAGAUGAGGAAAAGAGUAAGCCCCAGGGAUAAGGAGCCAAGACUUAGGCCUGAUUGUGCUUGGAUUGAAGUAACAAUUAGUUGGGGUAUAAGGCAAAGGAAUAUUAUGUAUAAAAAGGGGGAAAUACUUAUGAAAUAUCAGAUGCCAAAAGAAAAUCUGUAGAAUUUACAGCAUUGUGCAGAUCGGUCUGUAAAGUAUUAUUAGGUGGAAAAAAACCCUGUCAACUAUACAUUAUGGUGAAACAUUCAUGCUUUUCUGAUUUUUAGUGCAAUUCAGAAGUGGGUCAUAUCUAAUAUAUGAGAAACUUGAAAUGGAGAUCCCCUACCUGCAUAGUAGGAACUGAUAAGCAAAAUAAUUAUGGAUCUAAUUUUAUUACUCUGUUGUUUUCCUGCCCAUGAUUAAUAUAUUAGUCUGACUGUAGUCUGACUUGUUAACAAACAAUACAGACCAGUUCAAUAUUGUCUUAGUCCUUUUGGGUUGCUCUAAUAAAGUACCAUAGACUGGGUGGCUUAUAAACAACAGAAAUUUAUUUUUCAUGUUUCUAGAGGCUGGCAAAUCUAAGAUCAAGGUACCAGCAGCUGAUCUGAUGUCCAGUGAGGGUCCACUUCCUGGUUGAUAGACAGCUAUCUUCUCUUUGUCUUCUCACAUGGCAAAAGUGGGAAGGGAAGUCUCUGGGUCUCUUUUUUAAGGGCACUAAUUCCAUCUUUAUGACCCCAUCACCUCCCAAAGGCCUCACCUUCAAACAUCAUCGCACUGAUUUUCACAUAAUGAAUUUUGGGAGGACACAAACAUUCAGCAUGUGGCAAGCAUGUGAUUUGCUUCACAUUAUGUGAGGCUAAAACCACUAAAUAUUUAUAGUGUCAUCCAUCCUUUGAGUAUGAGGAGUUAGUUGUAAAGUAGGUUUACAUUUUAAGUCAUUUAUAUAUUAAAAACACUUGCCAAGUACUGUAUGAUAGAAUUUACCAAACUUUUUCUGUAAAAGGCCAGAUAGUAAAUAUUUUGGGCUUUCUGGACUAUAUGAUUUCUGUCACAGCUAUUCAGGUCUGCCUUUGUAACAUGAAAGUAGUCAUAAACAAUAUGUAAAUGCAUGAGCACGACUGUAUUCCAAUAAAACUUUAUUUAUAAAAAUGGAUUGUGGGCCAGAAUUGGCACAAGAGCCAUAGUUUGCUAAACCAUGCUCCAAGACAUAGUCUGUGUUAGAAAAGUAUAAUUCCAAAUUACUUGUAUGUGAAUUGAACUUUUAUGUUAGUUAAAAUUUACAUUUAUAAACCAUCACAAAACUUAGUGGCUUAAAACUACAGUUUAAUGCCUCUCACAUUUCUACAAAUUAACUCAGUGGUUCUGCUGUAGGUGGCAUUAGUUGGGGUUCUGGUAUAGCUGCAGUCGUCUGGAGGCUUAAAUGGGACUGUUGUCCAGGGCCUUGGUUCUCCUACAUGUGGAUUUAUCCACAUGGCUGAUUCAUUAGCCUCAUGGUGUGAUGGCUGGGUUCCAAGAAGCAUUCCAAGAGCAAGCAUUAUGAGAGGGAGGAGGCAGAAGCUGCCAGCCCAAUUAAGGAAUAGGCCUGAAACUGGCACAGCUUCAUUUUCACCAUUUUUUAUUGGUCAUAGCACUAGCCCAGAGUCACCGUGGGAAGAGACUAGGAAUACUAGGAAGAGUGGUUAGUUGGGGGUCGUCAAAGUAACUGUCUAUCGCAGAAUUGUUCAAAUUGAACUAGCUUUAGUAAAGAGGAAAUUUGUUAUAAGAAUAAUGGGGUGUCUAAUCUCAUAAAACCUAAGUAUAGGAUGAAGCCUUAGGAAUAUUGGAUCUAGGGUUUGAAGGUCCUCAGGACUGUUUUUCAUUUUUGCUUUCUUCUGUAAGUUUUAUUUUCUUUCACCACAGAUUUGCCUUUUUCACAAUGGAAAAAACAGUGCCAUCAACAGUUUCUGUAUUAUUUAUAUCUUCCCAUUUCAGCCAUCCAGAGAAGGACUGACUUUAUUUUCACAGUUGUGUUUCUAAAAUUUUUGAGGAAGAACUUUGUCCUGGACCAGUCAUUUGUGAUCAAAGGAUAGAGGUUAUGCUGUACCAACCAUGUGGACAGGAGCAGGGAUUGAUUUGGCUGAUCUAGCUGGCUAAGUGAGUAUAUUUUUCCUUUGGAAAGGGUCUACUUACAUACAUGAAAGCAAGUAACUAUAAGGGAUACCUGGUUGGCUCAUUCAGUUAAGCGUCCGACUUCAGCUCAGGUCGUGAUCUCGUGGUCCCUGAGUUCAAGCCCCGUGUCAGGCUCUGCACUAACAGCUCAGAGCAUGGAGCUGGCUUUGGAUUCUGUGUCUCCCUCUCCUUCUACCCCUCCCUUGCUUGCACUGUCUCUCUCGAAAAUAAAUAAACAUUAAAAAACAAGUAAGUAUAAGGCAGAGUGAAGAGCCAUAAUAGAAGUAUAAGCAACAUACUGUGGGUGCACAGAGGAAGGAACAAUGAAUUUAGACUGAAGAAUGGCUGUAGGAGGGAUGGUAUGGUAUUUUAUUUAUUUUAUUUUUUUAUUUUAUUUUAUUUUAUUUUAUUUAUUUUAUUAUUUUAUUAUUUUAUUUUAUUAUUUUAUUUUAUUUAUUUUAUUUUAUUUUUUAAUUUAUUUUAUUUUAUUUUUAUUUUAUUUCUAUAAUUUAUUUUUUAUAAUUUGCAUCCAAGUUAGCAUAUGGAGGAGGGAUGGUAUUUUAAAGAAGGUAGUGUUUGAGUGGGGCCUGGAAGAAUGAAUAACCCAUCCUGGGAAAAGCAAGGAAAGAUAAUCUGGCUGUCAGGUUUUUUUUGGCUGCUGAAGGGGUGGCACUAGAAUGUCUUGGCUAAAGUAGAUGAACUUAAAUACAGGUAUAGGAAAUUCAGUAUGAACAGCUGCAUGACUUAUCUGAUUUAACCUUCCUUAAUUAGAAUUACAAGAGCUAACUUGGUUUUGCUACAUUCAGGCCUUAGGUGACUGUGUGGUAGUUUGAAGUUUAAGAAUUAGAUUUUUUAAUUAAGUAGUUUAUCUCAAAGACUCAGAUUUUUAGAUAUGGAACUUGAAGGAUUAUCUGGGCAAACCCAUUCUACUAGGUAAAGAAACUAAGACCCAGUUAAAUGACUUAUUUAGGGUUACAUGAUAAAGUAUGGGGCUAACACCCAGGGCACCUUACUCGUAGUCUUGGGUAUUAAAAACAUUAUACAGUGUAUCCUUUGUAGUAAGAUGAUUUACCCCAGUAUACACCCAUUUGAAUUUCCUGCUGUAACAUUUUUAAAAUGUGAGAUAUAACAUGCAUACAGUUAAACGCACAAAUGUUAAUUGCACAGCAUGAUGAAUUUUUCAUGUAUAUAGACUCUUGUAAGUACCACCCGAGAUCAAGAUAUGGAGCAUUUCCAGCACUCCAGAAUCUUCCUUCAUGUCUUUUACUAGUCAAUAUCCAUUUCCCAUGCCACGCCCAAGUAAUCACUAUUCUGAUUCUUGUCCUCAGGGAUUACUUUUGCCUAUUCUUGAACUUUGUAUAAAUAGAAUGACUUCUGUCACUCAUCAUUAUGUCUAUGAUAUUCAUCCAUGUUGUGUGUAGCAGUUGUUCAUUUUAUUGCUAUGUAGUAUUCCAUUGAAUGAAUGGAUCAUUAUUCUUCUGUUAAUAGACAUUUGAAUUAUUGCUAGUUUUGACUAUUGUUAAUAAAGCUAUUAUGAAUAUGAUUUUGUAUGUCUUUUGAUGAGUAAAUUGCCUCAUAGGUGUAGAAUUGCUGGGUUGUCAUUUCCCAAAAAAGUUUUACCAUUUUCUAUCCCCACCAGCAAAGGAAGAUAGUUUCAGUGUUCUGCAUUCUUGUCAAAAUUUGGUGUUGUCAAUCUUUUUACUUUUAUCUGUCCUGGUCAGUGUAUAGUGGUUUCUGAUUUACGUUUCCCAGAUGAGUAAUGAUGUUGAGCACCUUUUAAUAUAUUAAGAUAUAUUAAAUAUUUAAUAUUUUAAAUACAUUUUUUAAUAGGGCUGUCUUACAGAUUUGUAGGAAUUCUUUAUAAUUCUGAAUGUAAGUAUUUUGGACAUAUAUAUGGCAAAUAUCUCCUUCCAGUCUGUGGCUAGUCUUUUCAUUCUCUUAAUAGUAUCUUUUAAUAAAUAAAAAUUCUUAGUAUUAAUGAAGUUUCAUUUAUUAAAUGAGUAAUUUACUCAUUUAAUUAACGUUACUCACGUUAAUUUACUAUAAGUAAAUUAAAUUUUAUGUGUAGUAGGUUACUUACUUACUAUAAGAUCAUGAACAUAUUCUCCAAAAUUUUCUUCUAGAAGCUUUAUUGCUUUCCCCUGUACUUGAACUUUUUUGGUGCAUUUCAGAUUAAUUUGUAUGAAUGAGGCAAGGUAGAAAUCAGUAGCUUUUUUUUUUUUUUUUUAACAGCCUAUGGAUAUCCAUUUGCUCCUACUCGAUUGUAGGGUACCUUUGAUAUAAAUCAGAUGGCUCUGUUUCUAGAGUGUAUAUUGUGUUCCACUGGUCUGUUUGUGUAUCCUCACACCAGUAUUAUCCUGUCUUAGUUACUAGGAAUUUAUACUGAGUCUUGAUACCUGGUGGUAUAGGUUUUCCAAUUUUUUUUCUCCUUCAGUGUUUUUCCUUUUGAGGGGAGCUAUACUUCAUAUACUAAUACUAAAUACAUAUGCAUCUAGAAUCAUUACAAUACAAAAAUCGAUUGGUAUUACAUUUGGGAUUGCAUUGAAGCUGUACAUCGAUUUGGACAGAAUUGGCAUCUUUAACAGUAUAGAAUCUUCCAUUCUAUAAACCUGUAGACAUGGAUAUCUAUCUGUUUACUUGGAUAAUUUUUAAAAAAAUGUUUAUUUAUUUUGGAGAGAGAGAGCAUGAGCUGGGGAGGGGCAGAGAGAGAGGGAGACACAGAAUCCAAAGAAGGCUCCAGGCUCUGAGCUGUCAGCACAGAGCCCAACGCAGGACUCAAACUCACGAAGUGUGAGAUCAUGACCUGAGCCGAAGUUGGACACUUAACUGACUGAGCCACCCAGGUGACCCUCUAUUUACUUGGAUCUUUAAGUUCUCUCAGCAGUGUUUUAUGAUAUUCAGAUAAUUCUAUUUUAUUUUUUUAAUCUAUUUUUUUUUUUUUUUGAGAGAGAGCGCGAGAGAGUGUGAGAGGGGUAGGGGCAGAGAGAGAAGGAGACACAGAAUCCAAAGCAGGCACCAGUCUCCAAGCUGUCAGCCCAGAACUCAAUGUGGGGCUUGAACUCAAGAAUCAUGAGAUCAUGACCUGAGCCGAACUUAACCGACUGAGCCAUCCAGGUACCCCUUUGGUAUUCAGUUUAGAUGUCUCAUACAUCUUUGGUUUAUGGCUAGAUAUUUGAUGUUUCAAAGAUGCUGUUGUAAAUGAUAUAGUUUAUUUAAAUUUCAUUUUCCAAUUGUUUCAUAUUAAUACAUAGAAAUACCACUGAUUUCUGUAUUUUCAUCUGUAAA